rnacentral:rRNA from 1 species
CCCUUAGAUGUUCUGGGCCGCACGCGCGCUACACUGAUGCAUUCAACGAGUCUAAAACCUGGUCUGAUAGGGCUGGGUAAUCUUUUGAAAGUGCAUCGUGAUUGGGAUAGAUGAUUGCAAUUCUUCAUCUUCAACGAGGAAUGCCUAGUAAACGCAAGUCAUCAACUUGCGUUGAUUACGUCCCUGCCCUUUGUACACACCGCCCGUCGCUACUACCGAUUGAAUGGUUUAGUGAGGCCUUCGGAUCCGCGACUCGUUUGUGGAGAAGUUGGACAAACUCAGUCAUUUAGAGGAAGUAAAAGUCGUAACA